GAUGAACGCUGGCGGCGUGCCUAAUACAUGCAAGUCGAGCGAACGGACGAGAAGCUUGCUUCUCUGAUGUUAGCGGCGGACGGGUGAGUAACACGUGGAUAACCUACCUAUAAGACUGGGAUAACUUCGGGAAACCGGAGCUAAUACCGGAUGAUAUUUUGAACCGCAUGGUUCAAAAGUGAAAGACGGUCUUGCUGUCACUUAUAGAUGGAUCCGCGCUGCAUUAGCUAGUUGGUAAGGUAACGGCUUACCAAGGCAACGAUGCAUAGCCGACCUGAGAGGGUGAUCGGCCACACGGGAACUGAGACACGGUCCAGACUCCUACGGGAGGCAGCAGUAGGGAAUCUUCCGCAAUGGGCGAAAGCCUGACGGAGCAACGCCGCGUGAGUGAUGAAGGUCUUCGGAUCGUAAAACUCUGCUAUUAGGGAAGAACAUAUGUGUAAGUAACUGUGCACAUCUUGACGGUACCUAAUCAGAAAGCCACGGCUAACUACGUG
rnacentral:rRNA from 1 species